rnacentral:rRNA from 1 species
UACGUAGGCAGCGAGCGUUGUUCGGAGUUACUGGGCGUAAAGGGUGUGUAGGCGGUUGCUUAAGUUUGGUGUGAAAUCUCCCGGCUCAACUGGGAGGGUGCGCCGAAUACUGAAUGACUAGAGUGCGGGAGAGGUGAGUGGAAUUCCUGGUGUAGCGGUGAAAUGCGUAGAUAUCAGGAGGAACACCGGUGGUGUAGACGGCUCACUGGCCCGAUACUGACGCUGAGGCACGAAAGCGUGGGGAGCAAACAGG